CAAGGUCGCCCGGUGUGGAUAUGCACUCAGAGUAACAGCGCAAACAUAUUAUUCACCUGAGUACACAACACCAACACAGAAAAAAAAAAUUCAUAUUACUAAAACAUAUUGGUAUUGAAGGAACUAGAUACUGUUCCGAAAUAUCACUUACUCGAACCGUCCUGACCGCGUAGCUCAGUUGGAAGAGCAUUGGGCUGGUAUUCCAAAGGUCGUAGGUUCGAAUCCCACCGUGGCCGGGCAUAUUUUUCAAGCUCGCCCGGUGUGGAUAUGCACUCAGAGUAACAUCGCAAACAUAUUAUUCACCUGAGUACACAACACCAACACAGAGAAAAAAAAAUUCAUAUUACUAGAAGAUAUUGGUAUUGAAGGAACCAGAUAGUGUUCCGAAAUAUCACUUACUCGAAC